GUGCUUAUUUUGGCAACACAUACCCUAAAAUUGGAAAGAUAUAGAGAUUAGCAUAUCUCCUGGGCAAGGAUGACACAACGUUAAUUCUAUGUGUUU
rnacentral:snRNA from 1 species